AGCGAGGUGGGGAAGCCAGGUUAUCCCGGCGGGCUCAUAUGCAGGUGGCCGUAAGUUCAAAUCAACCCCUCGCUA
rnacentral:tRNA from 3 species